rnacentral:rRNA from 1 species
CAAUAGCGUAUAUUAAAGUUGUUGCAGUUAAAAAGCUCGUAGUUGGAUUUCUGGUAGGAGUGACCGUUCCGAACUUGAUUGUUCGUGUAUUGUGUUUUCUCCAGCCAUCCUUGUGGAGAACUUUUCUUGCAUUAAUUUGUAGGGAUUGGGACCCGCAUCGUUUACUGUGAAAAAAUUAGAGUGUUUAAAGCAGGCAAUCGCUUGAAUACAUUAGCACGGAAUAAUAAGAUAGGACUUUGGUACUAUUUUGUUGGUUUGCAUACCAAAUUAAUGAUCAACAGGAACAGUUUGAGGAUAUUCGUAUGAACAUGUCAGAGGUGAAAUUCUUGGAUUUUGAUCAGACGAACUACUGCGAAAGCAUUUAUCAAGGAUGUUUUCAUUAA